rnacentral:lncRNA from 1 species
AGAUGAGGGAACGUAGGAACACUGGGGACUCUCCCCCAACUUACCAGGCCCCAGAAGUUAUUUCCCAGGCAGCGUUUUGACCAAGAUUGACAGAAAAAACUCACUAAGGGAGCCCCAAGGAAAGAACUUCGGUGAGCAAGACUUGAGGAAGAGGGCGUUAGGCCGCUGUGGUCCAGGACACGUCAGUUACAUGUGAAUCCCUUCUGGCAAUUCAGCAAUAGCCAUUGUAACUUUCAGGUUUUUGAUGUGGUCUCCUUUUUGCAGACAAUAGAGUUAUAUCCUCUCUUACUUCUGAGGUCUGCUGCCUUGUGGCAGAAGUUGACCACAUGGAAAUUUUCCACUUGGAAAUUCACACGUUGUUUCCUCUUGGUUUAUCGGUAGGCAGAAGUUACUACAUGGAGGGAGGGGGGAAACUGGUUUAACCUUGGCUGCUUGAUAGUGGAUCUGAAAGUCUAGUAUUGCAUGAGAAGUCCCUGCUAGAUAAAAUGUAAUAUUGGGGUCCCAUCUCCAGUGACUGUGGUUUAGUAGUUCCGGGUGGGCCUUGGCAGUAUACGUUUUUGAGCAAGCACCCCAAUAACUCUCAUAUGCAUGUUUCAAGACCUCGUGAUGUGGAGUACUGAUCUAGGUCCUCUUAGAACAGGAUGGAAGUUUGCUGAAGCGGGGACAAGAUUGGCCAUUGUGAAUGAUACUAACAUUGUGAUUAAGAGAACAAAUGUCUCUUUAGAUCUAAAGUCCUAAGCUUUUUGUCUUAGGCUGAAUUCCCCAGGAGGAGAGCCUAGACUGGUAUUUGGGUGUAUGUGAUGCAUUGGCGUGGUCUCAGGAAAAAGAUUAUAAAGGAAGUAGGAGAGCGCAAAGUAAGGCCCUAAGCAAGGGUGUGGGUUCAGCCGGAGGCUAGCUUUACUCGGAUCCCACAGGGAGCUCUGCGCGUGAGUUGUACCACAUGGCAUAUCCCACCCUGAGGAAAGAAGGCUAGCUUUUGGUACCUUUUGACAGCCAGUCACUGGCUGUGAGCUACCCUGGGAUGGGAGAUAGAAUCUUCUGGAUGAGCAGAGGGCAGAUCUCCAGGGAGAAGGCCUCUGUUGCCAUUAGCAACCAACCCUCAUGGCCACUGGGGAAUGGAUGCACCAGCCAGGUAAAAGGGACCGAGAAGAGUCACCAACAGCAUCCAUUGUGUUAUGACACCGUAGUGUCACAUGAGAGGCAUUUCACACUAUGGCUCCUGUUCUUGGUCACCCUGGCCACUCUUGCUGCUAUAAGCUUGCUACUCUUAAGUUUUUUGUUUGUUUGUUAUCAUUACAAGGGAAAACAUGGAUAGCAAAAAUAUUUGGCUUUUUGCUUUUUAGUAUUUCCCUUCUUGUGCUUUAGUAAAAAUUGUCAUCCUGCAGCAAAGUGUAGAUAAUAUGGCAGCAUCCUUUGUCAAUUUUGUCUCCUCACUUGAAGAAACAAUGACUUUGAAUACUGAAUUAUGGGUCCUUAGGCUGUAGUGAAAUCUUAAUGUGCUUUACUCAAAACUUCCUUUGCAGAUGAGUCCGUCUCACGCUUCUUGUAAUGAGAUUGCUCGUGGGGGAUGUUCGUUUGUUUAGGACUUUCUGUGAGAAAUAUGCUGUUCUGGAGACUAUUGAACUGGUUGUCAUUGGUUACUUGGCUUUAUUAAAUAAAACAGCCUCUUCUCAACUACCUUCUGUGGAACAUUAGUGUCUUUUGUACUGUAUUCUAUAGGAAAUAAGUCCUAUGGUCAAAUAAUUUUGGAGGGGAGGUGUUCUGUAUACUGUUUCCUUCUAGGAGAUUCACAGAGCACUUUGGCCUGUUAGAAGGUUCUCCAGACCCUGCAGGAAAGAAAACUGUUUACUCUUGCUUGGCUGAUCGAUUCUCAAACCUACCUGCUCAUGGAGAUGCUUGUCAUCACUGCCUCCCUCCUUUUUAUUUUUUCAGAAUACACAUUACCAGUUUACAGGACUAAUGUUCCAUAGUACACAGUUUGGAGAAUACCGAAAUGAAACUUUAUUCCUCAUCAUGUAUUACCAGGGCUUUCUGAGCAGCGAAGAACCAGUUCCACUCUUUUAUGUUGUAAAACCGGUCUCGACGCCUUAUCUACAUGCAAGGCAGGUGCAAAGCAGAUUUGGGGAUCAAAGUAGUCUCUGGAGAAAAAGGAUAGGUUAUUUGUUUGUCAUGCUGAAGGGGCUGUAAAAACAGUAACAUACUUAAUGAGGCUUCACUAUGGAUAUAUUAGUCUCCAUAAAACAUUUUAUUUAGCCUAACCUACAAUUACUUAAUGGCCAGUGAGUUUCAUAAACAGCUAGUCCCCAGCCUCAAACAUAUAUUAAGUGUCUGUUCUUUUGUGGAGUGAGUUUGCCAGGGAGAGUCAUGCAAGAUUAAAAAGAUAGAACAUUAAAAAUUCAGCCAAGACACACCAGGGCUGCCCUGAUGAUAACAACUACGGUGUGAUGUUUCUCAGUUCAUAUGGAUUCCCCAUACUGUUCUCAGUAGAAGAUAACCCUGCUAUUGCCCAAUACUCUUUCAUUAAAAAAUUAUUUGCACAGUCAUGGGUGUAUGGCAUUUCUUUUUUUGCUUAAGACAGACCCUCGGUGAGUUGAAUUUUUCUAAGGAAUUUUGAAUUGUAAGAGACAGAAAUGAAUGAAUAUUUAUUUAGAGGAAAAAUAUUGAGUCCUUACAUUUCCUACAGCACUUUGAAGUUUGCAGAGGGCUCCCUUCCCCCUUCCUCAACUAUCACUUUUGUACUUAAACAAAACCUCUGUGAGACAGUAGUAUUACCAGCACCACAAAAGUAGCAGAGGACUCUUGGAAAGCUGGCCAGAGCAGCCUUACAGAAUUCAGAAGCUUUAUUUACAUUCACCUGAACCGUUAUCCUAACUUCCUUCCUUCCUACUUAGUUAUGUUCAAUCAACUUAUCAUCUAGACUCAGCCACGAGCUUACUGUGUGUCCUGAUCCAUUGCUUAGCAAUCGUUCCCUCUUGGAUCAUGAGAGGUGGUAAGUUUCUAGGAUAUGUGUGUGAGUGCAUAUGUGUGCAAAUGUGUAGGAAUUGGUGAGGGAUGAAGGACUCAGAGAUCAUCUUUAGACAGAGUCCUGUGUUCCCCACCCAGGCGUGUGGAUUUUCUCUAGUAAGAAGGGUGAGGAGGCUAGGAUCUCGGAUGCCUUGGGCAACGUGGAAGAGGGCUUGGUACAGCAGAGGCUGUUACGGUGAAUAUGGGGGUCAGAGGAUGAAGGUCUGGGAAAUGGAUGGAGCCAAGGCAAUGGAGGGGAUUCCUGAGGUGGAACUGACCAGUCUUGGAGGUAAGGGAGAUACAGCAACUCAAGAUAUUGAUGAGGCGUCUAAUAGAGGUGGCCAAUAGUGCUGUUAUCAGAGAAGAGAACAAGAGGGAGACAACUGGGGUGGUAGCCUAGGGGGCGGCGGCGGGAGAGUUGAAACGAUAGAAGCCACUUUAGGAUGUGAUGAGCUUGAAGUGAAAUGUUUAGGUAGCUUGAAGUAGCCAUCCACAUUACAGAGAAAGAGAACAAAACCUGAGAUUUAGAGUUAAUGCUCGACAGUGUGUAAAGACCUGGACGCACAGACCAAAGUAUCUAGGAAGAGGGUGGCACCAGAUUGAAUCAGCCCACAUGACUCACACAUGUUAGAAAUGUCAUAUGUAUAUAUAUAUAUAUGUAUUUGGUCUUUUUUUUUGCCAUUUCUUGGGCCGCUCCUGCGGCAUAUGGAGGUUCCCAGGCUAGGAGUCGAAUCGGAGCUGUAGCCACUGGCCUACACCAGAGCCACAGCAACGCAGGAUCCGAGCCACGUCUGUGACCUACACCACAGCUCACGGCAAUACCAGAUCCUUAACCCACUGAGCAAGGCCAGGGAUCGAACCCGCAACCUCAUGGUUCCUAGUCAGAUUCGUUAACCACUGUGCCACAAUGGGAACUCUGGAAAUGUCAUAUGUUUUUACAACGUGUAAGGCAACUCCAUUUCAUACCGAGCACUCCUCCUUGUAGUCUGGGGGAAAACCUAAUUUCGUAUCUUUGAUUUUCCCUUCCUGAGGCAGUGCUGAGACAUCAGGAUGCAGAGUGGUGAUCUGGUCCUUGGUCACCUGUUGGGUAGGUUAUUUGCCAAGGCUUGCCAUCAUUCCUACUAGAUCCUUUUUCUCUGCCAUGGCUGUGCCAUGAGAUGCCACUUGUUGUUUUGUCUGAUGAGCUUCAGCUCCACCCAGCUCUUGGGCUUGGAGUUUUGCUGUCAACCUUUUGGGAGUGUGAGGGAAGCAUGGCUGCUCUGGGAUCCUUUGGUAUCGUUCGUCUUUCCUCUCUGAGUUUUAGCCCAGGGACCUCUCUUUCUAGGGCAGGGAAGGAAGAAAGGAUGAAGCGCCCUUCCUCUCGCUUCUCACAUACCCUCCCCUCUUCUCCCCCAAACCACCACUUCUCUUAAGGGCUUAAACAUGUUUGUGUGUGUGUGUGUGUGUGUGUGUGUGUGUUGGGGGAAAGGCAGACAGACUUGCUGGUUAUUUGCUUAUGGCCCUGAUGCAUGCCUCCUGGUAGCUGUGGAGGAUCACGAUGGCUACCACACUGAACUGGGAGGACGGAAACAAACAAAUACAGAUACAGAGAGAAACAAGAGUAAUAUCUGAAAAUACCAUCUAGCUACAGUGUUCAAGUAAGAGGAGAAACCAAGCAGGCUUUGGGCUACAGAGUAUAGAGACAAGAGAGAACAGGAAGAUGACAUCCAGGGAAGAAGCCAGAAAGCUCCCAGAGAAUGCAACAAAAAGCACCACUCUCAGGAUGUCGAGAUGCAAGACAUGGCCCCAGCUAUGAUGAUACCAGGACAUGCCAGAGGAGGGCAGGCGAGUCAUAGCCCGGGGCUUUAAAGUAAGCCUGUGGAGUUCCCAUUGUGGCUCAGAGGUAGCAAACAUGACUAGUAUCCAUGAGGACUCGGGUUCGAUCCCUGGCCUCGCUCAGCGGGUUAAGGGUCCAGUGUUGCUGGGAGAGCGUCAGUGUAGGUUGCAGAUGAGGCUUGGAUCCCAAAUUGCUGUGGCUGUGGCUGGCAGCUGCAGCUCCAAUUUGAUCCCUAGCCUGGGAAACUCCAUAUGCCAUAGGUGUAGCCC